GGCUGGUCUGAAGGUAGUAGAUAACUCAAUUGAUUGUUCAGUCAGUUAUAGAUUGAACUCCUUGUUUUACUCCUUCUCCCAUUCUCACUACUGCACUUGACUAGCAUUAA
rnacentral:Y_RNA from 1 species